rnacentral:misc_RNA from 1 species
ACCCAUUUUCAGUUCAACACCAUUUAUGUACCAUUCGAAUCUCAGGCUAGGAUCACCGACCGGAACCACACGAGCUUCGUAAUGAGCAUGUUGACCUUCCCAAAGUUCAGAUGGUCCUGUUAAAACUUGAGUAAAGAUUGGUUUCUCAAAUUCUUUCUCUGGUUCAUCAGGUUUUCUGGGCUGGGGUUGUUCCAAUUGCUGUAUUUUUCUCAUUCCUUCUGGGUGUUGUGUGUCAAUUUGAAUCGAUGCUUUGGCUAAGAAAAAAAAAUUGUUUAUUAAAAUAUAAUUUAUAUUUUAUAUAUUAUAUUUAUUAACACUAUAAAAUUAUAGCUAUAAAUUAAUAGAUUAUAAAAUAAUAUAUUUACUUUUAAUUCUCAUUGCAGCGGUUGUAACUGCUUCACCAAGUAGAUUCGAUGCUCUACACAUGUAAACUCCUUCAUCUUCAUCACGAACGUGUGAAAUACUCAUGGAUACAUAUCCAAAAUCAUGUGUUUUUGUGAUUCUCGAACUAUCUUCAAUAAGUUUUUCGUUUCUAAACCAUUCUACUUUAAGGGUCGGGUCUCCGACAGGAAUAAGUCUACAAUCAAAGUGAGCUGUCUGCCCUUCCUGAAUGUUAUCGAUAUUUUGAAGCGGUUGUGUAAAAACAGGUCUUUGCCUAGUGACCGGCUCUGGUAUUUCUGGUCUCUUAAACGGUUCUGCUGAUUCCAGCUCUCGGAUUUUCUCGAGACCUUCUGGACGUUGAGAUUCCGAUAUAAUACUACCUUUUGCGGUUACUGUCAUCGAUAUUGAGGAGGUGCAUUGACCAAGAGCAUUAAUUGCUUUCACAGAAUAUUCUCCUGCGUCUUCUGGGACGCAGUGCUGUAUAUCUAAUGACACGUAACCAAAAUCAAAAGUGAUAUGGAACCGUGACGCAGAUUGCAAUGCUUUUCCGUUGUGGUAGAACUCAAUACGCAAGUUCGGAUCAUGUACUGGCUCAACUUGACAUUCAAAAUGAGCCGUUUGACCUUCAAAUACGUGUGUUGUUCCUCUGAGUUCUGUUACAAAUCUUGGAGGUGAAAUCUUUGGCUCUUCAACUUCAAUUCGGGCUUGAUGACCUUGUGCCUCAAGUUGUCUAAUUUUUUCUAGUCCAUUAGGAUGUUGUGUAUCCAAGAUUAUAUUUCGGUGACCUAAAAGAAUUUGCAACCUUCAACGUGCACGUAUUAACCGCUUCUCCAAGUUUGUUAGUGGCCUUACACAUAUAAGUCCCAGAGUCUUCUGCAUAGGAAUAUAAAAUGUCCAAUGCAACAUAACCAAAGUCGUGUGUUGUUCUAAAUCUAUGUCCUGUCUUAAUCUUUUGACCAUUAAGGAACCAUUCGAUUUUGAGAUCAGGGUCAUUUAUAGGCUCUACUCUACAUUCGAAGUGAGCUCGGUCACCUUCUUUAAGGUUCUCUAAACUAGUCAACGCAGUUAAAAAUACUGGCCGCUGACCUGGUCUUUCUUCUUCAAUAGCUUUCGGCCUUUCAUAUUGUUCAAGUUCUUUAAUCUUUUUCAAACGUUGUUCAUCUAAAGUGUCCAAGUACAAAGAACCCGUGGCU